rnacentral:rRNA from 1 species
AGAGUUUGAUCCUGGCUCAGGAUGAACGCUGGCGGUCUGCUUAACACAUGCAAGUCGAACGCAACCUUCGGGUUGAGUGGCGGACGGGUGAGUAACGCGUGAGAAUCUGCCUUAGGGUCGGGGACAACCACUGGAAACGGUGGCUAAUACCGGAUAAGCCGAUUGGUGAAAGAUUCAUUGCCCGAAGAGGAGCUCGCGUCUGAUUAGCUAGUUGGUGAGGUAAGAGCUCACCAAGGCAGCGAUCAGUAGCUGGUCUGAGAGGACGAUCAGCCACACUGGGACUGAGACACGGCCCAGACUCCUACGGGAGGCAGCAGUGGGGAAUUUUCCGCAAUGGGCGAAAGCCUGACGGAGCAAGACCGCGUGAGGGAGGAAGGCUCUUGGGUUGUAAACCUCUUUUCUCAGGGAAGAGGCUCUGACGGUACCUGAGGAAUCAGCCUCGGCUAACUCCGUGCCAGCAGCCGCGGUAAUACGGAGGAGGCAAGCGUUAUCCGGAAUUAUUGGGCGUAAAGCGUCCGCAGGUGGCGAUUCAAGUCUGCUGUCAAAGCACGGGGCUUAACUCCGUUAAGGCAGUGGAAACUGAAUAGCUAGAGUGCCGUAGGGGUAGAGGGAAUUCCCGGUGUAGCGGUGAAAUGCGUAGAGAUCGGGAAGAACAUCGGUGGC